AGCUCCAAUAGCGUAUAUUAAAGUUGCUGCAGUUAAAAAGCUCGUAGUUGAAUUUGUGGCGCGGCCAUCCGGCGGGGGCUCUUCAUUGAGCCCGUUUGUCCUGGUUUUUGGCCGUUCCUUUCUCGGGUAGCGUGUGGCUGGCAUUAGGAUGGAAUAAUAAGAUAGGGCCACGACGGUCUAUUUUGUUGGUUUGCACGUUGUGGUAAUGGUUAACAGGAAUAGUUGGGGGUAUUCGUAUUCAAUUGUCAGAGGUGAAAUUCUUGGAUUUGUGGAAGACGAACUACUGCGAAAGCAUUUACCAAGGAUGUUUUCA
rnacentral:rRNA from 1 species